UGUCAGCACAUUACAAAAAGUCUUGCAAUAUCAACCAUGCUUCUUCCUGAUGAAUGAUCAGAGUGAAAUCUUACCCUGAGAUGGAGCAGGAGGCUCAAACCAGGUAAAAUUAAGGAGCUUGUAGUCACCCACUAAUGUAGAGUCGAAAUGAACCUUAUGUGUGGUAAGAGAAAAAUUUAUUGCAGAAGCAUCACUGGCAGAAAAACUGAUUCCCGUAUGUGGAGUAAUGUCCAUUGAUAUGUUUAAUUGUGACAAGCUAAGUACAUAAAAGUUGAUCAGCUCAAUUUGAGAAACUCGCAAACCAAGCUGCGAUGCUAAUUCUUCUAGAAAAAGAUUCCAAUUUGGGUUUUGUGAUACAUUUAAAAGUACAAGGUCGAGCUUUAUAGGAUACACACAGUGGCAACCAUGACUUGCUCGUUUCAACACUGUGUCAGGUUUGCAACAAUCUGGCAAAAUAAGAUAAGAACACCAGUGUGAACAAAUAAUUUGCC
rnacentral:lncRNA from 1 species